CGGUGCAUUACGUUUGCGCGCAUCACCAUUACAUUUGCGCGCAAAAAUCAUUACGUUUGCGCGCAGCUUUUGCUUACAUUUGCGCGCAUUUUUUUGACAGGUAACUCAGGUAAAAUACAGGUCAUAAUACUUAUUUAUUUAUCAAUUUGUUCAAUUAUUUACAAUAAUCAGUACCUCUUCCGUUAGUCUAAGUCUCUUCUUAGGCAGGGAAAAAAGGUGAUAAAGCCGCAUAUUUUCUUCGAUUUUCAGAUACAAUUCAAAAAGUCAAAGGUGUAGACAAAAGUUUAAAAAAUCUGUGACAUAGCCC
rnacentral:lncRNA from 1 species